GUAGGGUGCGAGCGUUAUCCGGGAAUCAUUGGGGCGUAAAGAGCUCGUAGGCGGUUCAGCAAGUCGGCUGUGAAAUUCCGAGGGCUCAACCUCAGAACUGCAGUCGAUACUGUUGUGACUCGAGUCCGGUAGAGGAGAAUGGAAUUCCCGGUGUAGCGGUGAAAUGCGCAGAUAUCGGGAGGAACACCAGUAGCGAAGGCGGUUCUCUGGGCCGGCACUGACGCUGAGGAGCGAAAGCGUGGGUAGCAAACAGGAUUAGAUACCCUGGUAGUCCACGCCGUAAACGUUGGAUACUAGGUGUGGCGUUCCGACCAACGGUCGCCGUGCCGAAGCUAACGCAUUAAGUAUCCCGCCUGGGGAGUACGGCCGCAAAGGCUA
rnacentral:rRNA from 1 species